rnacentral:tRNA from 1 species
GGGCCCUUAGCUCAGUUGGCUAGAGCGCAUCAUUUGCAAUGAUGAGGUCAAGGGUUCGAGACCCUUAGGGUCCA